UACUUAGGGGGCAAGCGUUAUCCGGAUCUACUGGGUGUAAAGGGAGCGCAGACGGGACUGCAAGUCUGAUGUGAAAGCCCGGGGCUCAACCGCGGGACUGCAUCGGAUACUGUAGAUCUGGAGUGCCGGAGGGGCAAGCGGAAUUCCUGGUGUAGCGGUGAAAUGCGUAGAUAUCAGGAGGAACACCGGCGGCGAAGGCGGCUUGCUGGACGGCAACUGACGUUGAGGCUCGAAAGCGUGGGGAGCAAACAGGAUUAGAUA
rnacentral:rRNA from 1 species